rnacentral:rRNA from 1 species
AACAAACGCUGGCGGCGUGCCUAAUACAUGCAAGUCGAACGGGGAAAGCUUUCGGGUGAGUACUAGUGGCGCACGGGUGAGGAACGCGUGGAUAAUCUGCCUUAGAGUGGGGGAUAACUAGUCGAAAGAUUAGCUAAUACCGCAUAAGACCACAGGAGCUGCGGCUCAAGGGGUCAAAGGUUUUUCGCUCUAAGAUGAGUCCGCGUAAGAUUAGCUAGUUGGUGAAGUAACGGCUCACCAAGGCGACGAUCUUUAACUGGUCUGAGAGGAUGAUCAGUCACACUGGAACUGAGACACGGUCCAGACUCCUACGGGAGGCAGCAGUAGGGAAUAUUGCACAAUGGAGGAAACUCUGAUGCAGCGACGCCGCGUGAGUGAUGAAGGCCUUCGGGUCGUAAAGCUCUGUCGCAGGGGAAUAACACAAUGAAGGUACCCUGUAAGAAAGGAUCGGCUAACUUCGUGCCAGCCGCCGCCGUAAUAC